AACGAACGCUGGCGGCAUGCCUAACACAUGCAAGUCGAACGAAGCCUUCGGGCUUAGUGGCGCACGGGUGCGUAACGCGUGGGAAUCUGCCCUUUGGUUCGGAAUAACAGUUGGAAACGACUGCUAAUACCGGAUGAUGACGAAAGUCCAAAGAUUUAUCGCCAGAGGAUGAGCCCGCGUAAGAUUAGCUAGUUGGCGUGGUAAAGGCGCACCAAGGCGACGAUUCUUAGCUGUUCGUAAAGGAUGAUAAGCCACACUGGGACGGAGCCACGGCACAGACUCCUACGGGAGGCAGCAGUGGCGAAUAUUGGACAAUGGGCGAAAGACUGAUCCCGCAAUGCCGGGUGAGUGAUGAAGGCCAUAGGGUUGUAAAGCUCUUUUACCCGGGAUGAUAAUGACAGUACCGGGAGAAUAAGCCCCGGCUAACUCCGUGCCAGCCGCCGCCGUAA
rnacentral:rRNA from 1 species